CGCGUCCUUGUCACUGGGGAGCAUUAUGUCCAAUGAUCGUAUUGAGAGGGCAUAGUUGCUGACACCAAUGAUCUAAUUCCACGCGUCGGGUCGAUACGGCACGGCGCAAUUUUUGGAAGC